UACGUAGGGUGCAAGCGUUGUCCGGAAUUAUUGGGCGUAAAGAGCUCGUAGGCGGUUUGUCGCGUCUGCUGUGAAAACCCGAGGCUCAACCUCGGGCCUGCAGUGGGUACGGGCAGACUAGAGUGCGGUAGGGGAGAUUGGAAUUCCUGGUGUAGCGGUGGAAUGCGCAGAUAUCAGGAGGAACACCGGUGGCGAAGGCGGCACUCUGGGCUGGAAUUGACGCUGAGGAGCGAAAGUGUGGGUAGCAAACAGG
rnacentral:rRNA from 1 species